GAGGAAAGCCUAAAAAAUAGGCGAUACACACAAUAGUGAAAUAAGAGUCAUAGAUAAAUGGUAAAGAGGAAAUUGAGAGGGGGUAUAUAAAAUUUCCUCUUCACCAUUUAUCUAUGACUCUUAUUUCACUAUUGUGUGUAUCGCCUAUUUUUUAGGCUUUCCUCU